rnacentral:ncRNA from 1 species
GCGGCGGGACGACCCGCUGCACGAAACCGAUCCCGCCGGGACGACCCGG